GAUGAACGCUGGCGGUGUGCCUAAUACAUGCAAGUCGAGCGAACAGACGAGGAGCUUACUCCUCUGACGUUAGCGGCGGACGGGUGAGUAACACGUGGAUAACCUACCUAUAAGACUGGGAUAACUUCGGGAAACCGGAGCUAAUACCGGAUAACAUGUUGAACCGCAUGGUUCAACAGUGAAAGACGGUCUUGCUGUCACUUAUAGAUGGAUCCGCGUCGCAUUAGCUAGUUGGUAAGGUAACGGCUUACCAAGGCAACGAUGCGUAGCCGACCUGAGAGGGUGAUCGGCCACACUGGAACUGAGACACGGUCCAGACUCCUACGGGAGGCAGCAGUAGGGAAUCUUCCGCAAUGGGCGAAAGCCUGACGGAGUAACGCCGCGUGAGUGAAGAAGGUCUUCGGAUCGUAAAACUCUGUUAUUAGGGAAGAACAAAUGUGUAAGUAACUAUGCACGUCUUGACGGUACCUAAUCAGAAAGCCACGGCUAACUACGUG
rnacentral:rRNA from 1 species